rfam:Stegodyphus mimosarum contig27075, whole genome shotgun sequence.
GCUUUCCUGGUGUAGCGGUCAGCACGCUCGACGCGUAACCGAGAAGUCCGCGGUUCGAUUCCCUGCGAAGGCU